rnacentral:tRNA from 1 species
GGCUGCGGGCCGAGGACGGCCGACGCCUCUCAUACGGGCGGCCGCGAGAGUUCGAGUCUCUCCGCAGCCA